rnacentral:rRNA from 1 species
ACGGGAGGCAGCAGUGGGGAAUAUUGCACAAUGGGGGAGACCCUGAUGCAGCGACGCCGCGUGAGUGAAGAAGUAUUUCGGUAUGUAAAGCUCUAUCAGCAGGGAAGAAAAUGACGGUACCUGACUAAGAAGCCCCGGCUAACUACGUGCCAGCAGCCGCGGUAAUACGUAGGGGGCAAGCGUUAUCCGGAUUUACUGGGUGUAAAGGGAGCGUAGACGGCGGUGCAAGUCUGAUGUGAAAGCCCGGGGCUCAACCCCGGUACUGCAUUGGAAACUGUACUGCUAGAGUGCAGGAGAGGUAAGUGGAAUUCCUAGUGUAGCGGUGAAAUGCGUAGAUAUUAGGAAGAACACCAGUGGCGAAGGCGAUCUACUGGACAGUAACUGACGCUGAGGCGCGAGAGCGUGGGGAGCAAACAGGAUUAGAUACCCUGGUA